CAGCCGAGCGCUCGGUCCCCGCUGCUGUCACACACGCCCGGGGAUCCGUCGUGCAGCCGCCGUCCGUGGCUCCGAUACGGAUGGGAAGUUAACGGGCUCACAGCCACCUUGCCUUAGUUUGUUAGUUGUCAGUUGUGCAGUUGUCACAUACUUCUAGGUAGCGGCACUAACAACUAUAUAUAUAUAUCUAGAGAUAUAGAUCUUAUUGUAUGUGUCAUACUGAACAUGUAUUUCUAUUAUAUUUAUUUUUCUAUAGCAUAAUAUAGAUGGACAUUAUAUGAUUAUUGCAUAUUAUAUAUAGUUUCUGGCGGUCUUCCACCGUAUAUUGUGUAUAUAUAUAACAAUGCAAAUUGAAUGUAAAUAUAGCCUAUGUCUAUGCGUGUCUUGCUUUUAAUAUGUAAUGGUGUCAUUAGUAAAUCAGUAUCGAGGUUCAUUUUUAUGAAUUUCUAGGAUUUCACUUUCGCUCUAUGUGUGUUUAGCGCAACCUUUGAAUCAGGCUGUUGUCGGUACUACCUCUUAGACUCGUGUCAGUCGUCAAACCGAGCUGCUCUCCAUUCUUUGGAGUAAAAAUAAUGAAGUAUCCGGUUCCAAGAAGUCCAGACAGUUCCAGUGAAGGUAGUCAUGGUGGUCAUGGAGUCUUGGCUGUCCAGUAGGCUUUGGAACCCGAUAUCGUUGAGAUGUACAUCCAUGUUGGUGGACAUGUGAAGCAAACCGUUUCUGUGCGAUUGCAAGCAGGGAGAUCGCAGAGGAGCAGUGAACCGCAUCUUUAAGAAGUCUCUUAUCUUGGCGCCAUUGAAACGCCAUGGCAAGCAAACGAAAGUCAUCCACACCUUGCAUGGUCCUUCUCUCAGAAACAGUGGAGCAGGACCCGGAGAUGGAGAUGAUAACAGAAGGGGAGGAGGGAGCGGGAAGCAUGGCCACUGCCCCAGUGGAGGGCGCUGUUGUCCCUGCUGAGAGUGAGCCAGGUGAGGAUGAGAACAACUUGGGCUCACACUCCGAGGAGGACAGUCUCAUCCGGACCAAAGUGAAGCGAAACGGCCACAACGUACUCGGGCAAACUGCAAAUGACUUGUCCUUGGACAGCAGUUUUGGGCUGCAGCCGGAAAGUGAGGAGGCUGAGGACACAACCGUCACGGGCAUCUCCUUCAGCAAGACUCCCAUCAUGAAGAUGAGGAGCAGGGCUGAACCUAAGAGGAUCGCUUUGUCUCACAAAGUAUCGGAUGAGGGGGAUGUGAGGGCAGAGAGCGAGGGCGAGCAGGAGCCCAAAGAGGCACAAUCGGGGGUCUUGGACAUGGUGACACCAUUUCCUGUUGACCCGGGGAAACCAUGUGUCAUAAUCAGUAAUCAAGGUCAGAUCCUGACUGAGCCAAAGAAGACCAUCAUCAACUCCGCCACGGUUCUUCCCGCAGGCUUGGCCCAGGUUCUGUCCGCCCUUCAGGCCCAGCAGAAUUCUCACACCCAGCUCCUGAUUCCUGUUAGCAGUAUUCCAACAUACAACGGUGCCAUGGACAACAAUGCUCUGCUGGUCAACACAUACAACAAAUUCCCCUAUCCGUCAGUGUCGGAGAUCAUGGGAUUAGCAGCGCAGACUAAGUUUACUGAGGAGCAGAUAAAGAUCUGGUUUUCAGCUCAACGUCUAAAGCACGGGGUGAGCUGGACCCCAGAGGAAGUAGAAGAGGCUAGAAGGAAGCAAUUCAAUGGUACCGUCCACACAGUAUCUCAGACUAUCACAGUCAUACCUGCCCACCUUUCUGCUGCAGCCAACGGCUUGCAGUCCAUUCUCCAGACCUGUCAGAUCGUGGGACAGCCCGGGCUCGUGCUGACACAGGUUGGUGGCGCAAAUACUUUGCCAGUGACAACCCCCAUCACGUUAACCGUGGCUGGGGUCCCUAACCAGGCUCAGCCGCCAAAACCUGCCACGAUCCAGACAGCCCCAGCUGCUGUAGAGGUGAAGAGGGCCACUACGGUCCAGCCCCCUGCUCUCACACCUCAGGAGAACUCUGCCCUCAGUGCCGAUCACCUCAGUAUGCGAACUAAGAAAUCCAAGGAGCAGCUGGCGGAGCUGAAGGCCAGCUACCUGAAAAACCACUUUGCCAGUGACGCGGAGAUCGCCCGGCUAAUGAAGCUGACGAACCUCACGAAAGGUGAGAUCAAGAAGUGGUUCAGCGACACACGGUACAAUCAGCGCAACUCAAAAAACAGCCAAGUCCCCAUUUUCAACGACGGUGCCCCCAACAGCAGUGCCACCAUUGUCAUCGAUUCCAGUGAUGAGACCAUGGAGUCUCCCGCAUCGGUUCCCGUCAAGGAAACGCGCAACAAGGGCAGCCGGAAUCCCUUUCCUGACUUCACACUUCAGAAGUUCAAAGAAAAGACUCCGGAGCAGCUGCUGCUUCUGGAGGACAGCUAUCAGAAAUGCGGCACACCCACCGACGAAGAGCUGAGCCGCUUGAGGACAGAGACGAAGCUCACUAGGCGAGAGGUCGAUGCUUGGUUCACCGAAAGGAGAAAAGCACCCGAGACUGAGCAGAGGGAAGUGGAGGCUGCAAAGGCCAUUUCCUCCAGCCGGCAUGGAAGGCAAACUUCUCCUAGCAGCAGGAGGCAGGCCAGGGAUAAAAUUGGUAAAAAGACUCCUGAGCAGCUACAUAUUCUCAAGGGUGCCUUUGUGCGCACGCAGUGGCCCUCUGCUGAGGAGUACGACAAGUUGGCAGAGGAGAGCGGGCUGCCCAGGCCCUACAUUGUUAACUGGUUUGGAGACACUCGGUAUGCUUGGAAGAAUGGGAACCUCAAAUGGUACUACUUCUACCAGAGUGGGAAUGCGGGAGCCGUGAAUGGGGGCAGCUACCGGAAGAAGGGGAAGGGCCGGGCACGGAACCGGGGCAGGGGAUGGUCCCGGAGGAGCAAGCGAUCUUCAAGUUGGGGAAGAUCUCCCCCUGUGAAGUCCAAGAGUGGGAAGGAGGUUCUCAAGGAGUAUUACCUUAAACACAAGUUUCUCAAUGAACAGGACCUGGAUGAACUGGUUUCCAAAUCUAAUAUGAGCUAUGAGCAGGUGCGGGACUGGUUUGCCGAAGUCGGCAAGAGGGUGGAAAUGGGUGUUGACCCGUUUGAGGGCAACGUGGAGGAGGAGGAGCAGCAGCACGGUGAAGGCAAUGGCAAGACUGCAGCCAAGCGGCGAGCCGAUGGGGCUGCCCAGGAGGAGGAUGACGAAACGGACGACAGCGAUGCCUGGGAACCUUCUAAGAGCGCAAGGAAGUCAUUUUCGGGUUCAGAAGAUUAGUGAUGGAGAUACAGAAUUCUCAUUUUUCUCAUAAUAUGAAAACAAAGGACUGAAGUUGACGAUCCCUAAUUUUAAUGGGCAGAUUUCAGAUGAUUUUUUUUUUGUGGACCAACUAAAAGGCAGAGAAGCAUUCAUUUGCAAAUCCAGUUGUGGAUCUUUGGUGCCAAAGUAAUUCUGUGGCAUUUUCCAGCCCUGACAGCACGAUUAAUGAACCUCUGCUGUGGAACCGUUCUGCUGUGAGAUUUGACAAAAGAGGGGUCAGUAUUUCCCAGAGAAGGGGCAAAUGGGGUAGGUGGAAAACAACAGGGGGGGGUGGGGGUCAGUACUGAAAUGAUGCAGAUUUCCUGUCAGAUUUUUUUCACUUUUGGUCGCUCUGUCUGAAUGAUUAUUCAGACCUGGGUUGGUAAACAGCAUGUGAUGUUCACAGUAUGAUGUUAUUCUGGUUUGUGAGGUUCUGGAUCAGCUUGCUGGAUACUUAAUGCUUCUUUCUAUCUUUUUGGGGCUGUACUGGCUUCUUUUGGCCCGAUCCGAUUAGAACACCAGUUUUCUAAUCAGCCACAAUGGUUCCAUAAAUGAAAGUAAUGUUAGGUUAUUGUUAUUAACAUUAAGAAUUUUAUGUAUAUAUUCUUUUCCAGUAAUGCAUGGUCACUUUUUGAGUCUUGUGUAAAGAACAUAAUCUAGAAUUUGAUUUUCAAAGUAACAAAAUAUACGUAAUAGUCUGUUUUUCAUUUAAAGUAACUUAAAUCACUUUAAGUAAUACUGUUUUGAAGUGCUGUGAAAAUAAGUAUGAUUUUGGUCUAGGAUAGGAAUAAGUUUUGCUUGAUGCACAGUUCAAUAUGCUUAAACUAUGAAGUUUUUAAUUUGUGCUGUGAACCUUGUGUAAAUGUAGAUUUCUUUCCAGUGAGGUUUUACUUACCUAGUAUGCAAAUGUUUCUGACUGUGGCUUGCAGUAAAUUGAAAUUUCCUUAUGGGAACUGUAUUUCAACAUCAGAACUAAUGCAGCCUUGAGCAAAGGUAUCGUUUUAUCAAUUGCGAAAUAUUUAUCUGCACCUAAGCAGUUGAUUAGCAAAAUGAUUAUUGAAUCAGGCUGACAGUGUUUCAUGAAUAAGUCUGCCUGUUGAAGACCAAUGGGAAAAUGCCCACGGUACCUUUAGCGUCAAGUUUAUAGUUUUUGUAGUUUUUUUAAAUCUAGAUUUUAUAUUUUAACUUGGUUACUUGGUUCCCUGGACACUUAUUCUAGAAUUUUAUAGCUGCUUUAUUAGGUCUCCUUAAAACGUUGCUUGGAAUGCACACAACAUAAAUGUUGGAUUCCCAAGCUCUGCGUUUAGACUUAAAGGACCUCACUAUUGUCUCAGAAAGUUGAUCCUGCACUUCUAGGAGCGGUGGAUGCUUUUUAUGGACAGAUGGCAGAACAGAGAUCAGAGAUAUUCUGUAAGAACCUCUGAAAGCGGUUCCUGCUGAAAAAGACAUAAGGAGGAAAGUUACAGUAUUUUUUACAGUGUUUUAUGUUGCCGCUUUUGAACUGAUUUUUAAAAAAAUGUCUGGGCAUGAAACAUGCCUUUGAUGCAUACUGUGUAUAAAGACAUUUGAUAAAACAGGAGUUUGUACAUUUCUCACUGAGGAGUCAUUUUGGGAAGCACAGGACUUAACUCUGUACGUCCUACGAUCUUCAGCUCACGGAUGUGGUUUGUGCCUGCCAAACUCAAUGAGUAGCCCAAGCCGAACUCCGUUAACAGACCAGUUUUGCACCUGCAGCGUACUGUAACUCACUUCCAUUUUACACAUUCUCAAUGCACUUUUUUCCGAAGCUUUUUUUCCAUAAAAAAAAAAACCUACAAGGUUUUCGUUCCAUGAAUGGCCGCUAUAAUUCUGAAUCAUUUACUUUCAGAACUCUUUUUUUUCUGAAUGUGAAGUUUCUGAAAUUUUUCUUGUCUGAAUGAUGUUUGAAAAUUAGAAAAAAUAAAUUAUGUUGCGCAUCAAAUGGAGCCAUGCAUUAUUACAAUCUGUCUAAACAGGGUGCAGUAUGCUAUGGUUUAUGUCCACAUAGUGAUGAAAAUAGGCAAUAGUGCAUUUCUCAGAACAUUUCCUGAUCAGUUAUAGCUCCUUAUAAAUUAAGAAUGAAAUGUUACUAAUAUAUAUUGACUGUGCAAAUAGAUGUUUUGUUGUGUGUGUAUAUAGUCCCUUACGGGACAGAUCUGUAAGCCCUUUUAAGUUCUGUUUUGUCUGUGGUGGCAGGAGCUGUAUGUAUUGUAAAUUGCAAUUAAUUUAAGACUGAAUAGCUUUUUUUAAGCUGUGGCUUUUACUUGGGUAACUUGAAAUAUAUAUUUUCUACUGUGGCCAAUAAAUGUUUGAAGGCACUAAUGGGUUACCACGGUCCAAUUCUUUUUCUUAAUUGCAAAUGAAGUGCACAGAUACUCGUAUACAAACAUUUAAAGAUUAAUUUACUCAUUAUUAAGCCACGCAUAAAUCAACAUCUCAAUCACUUCAAUCCAGUUUUAACCUGAAGGAACUUGGUUCAGCGCUGUGGAAAAAUAACUCUUGAAACUUUAUGAACUUUGAGCACUGUUCUUUAUUGUGCUUUUUAUCAUCUUGCCCUAAUGGAUCUUCACCUGUGUUUUAGUUAAAUUGUUCGAUGAUAUGUCCUGUGGCUUAUUUUUGAUUCUAUACAGGUAUGACACCUGUUUGUUGAUCAUCUGUUACCUGUUCUUUGUGUGUUGCUCUUUAAAAAUAAAUUGAGAAAACAGUC